rnacentral:lncRNA from 1 species
UCAUUAAAGACAAUUUGAGAAAUAUCUUAAAAGUAUAAUAAAUAAAGCUUUACUCAUAUUUUAAUUUUUCAGUUACAACCAAUAUUAAAAUUUAGAUGAAUUUCUAUAAUUUUAUGCAUAAAUUUUUGCAUCUCCUUCAAUUUACCUAUAUACUAUUUGCUCGUCUCACAUGACACUGAUGGCAGAGAUGGCCAGUCAUCCAACUUCUACAGAGAAGAGAUGUUGCUGCAAAGUGAUGACAUGCCCUAGGGAACGCAGCAUCCAGGUGUCAAGGGAUGAGAUUCAGGCUUACAGGACAUGGUGAAAGUGAAGAUGCCACCUCCAAGUCUGGUCCAAGUAAACCUCCCAUGUGAUCCUCUCAUACUUUCCCUUCUCUCCCUUUUCCCUGUUGGACAUCAGCACCAGGCCAGCCAUAAAUGCCAUGCAUCGAAACAUCAGAGCCUCGUUCAAUCCAAGUGCCUGGAUCCCAGCUACAUGGAGCAACCCCCUUGUCCUCAUCAGCUUCAGGUGAGACCUGUGUGAAGGGACAGGACUGGGAGUCUCAUUCUUAUAGUGGCUGAUGUUAACAAGUAGAACUGCCCCACCUCCAAAAAGAAGGUUAGCACAAAAUUAACAAAUGCCAUUUAAGUAACUCUUUUAAUGACAAGGUUCAUUUGUGCAAGAAUCAAAUGAAAGAUACUUCAUUUCAAACACUGACCUGCUCUUAUGAACAGAUGAAAUAACCACAAUGAUUGCAUUGCUUUCAACUUGACCUAUAAUUUCAGAGAU